GACUUGACAUCUCCUGAAUUACUCUUAAUCGAGGAAGUCCCUUCGGGGACAGGAAGACAGGUGGUGCAUGGUUGUCGUCAGCUCGUGUCGUGAGAUGUUGGGUUAAGUCCCGCAACGAGCGCAACCCUUAUUGUUAGUUGCUACUAUUAAGUUAAGCACUCUAACGAGACUGCCGCGGUUAACGUGGAGGAAGGUGGGGAUGACGUCAAAUCAUCAUGCCCCUUAUGUCUAGGGCUACACACGUGCUACAAUGGCUGGUACAACGAGCAGCAAACCCGCGAGGGGGAGCAAAACUUGAAAGCCAGUCCCAGUUCGGAUUGUAGGCUGAAACUCGCCUACAUGAAGUUGGAGUUGCUAGUAAUCGCGAAUCAGCAUGUCGCGGUGAAUACGUUCCCGGGUCUUGUACACACCGCCCGUCACACCAUGAGAGCCGGUAACACCCGAAGCCCGUGAGGUAACCGUAAGGAGCCAGCGGUCGAAGGUGGGAUUGGUGAUUGGGGUGAAGUCGUAACAAGGUAGCCGUAUGAGAACCUGCGGCUGGAUCACCUCCUUUCUAGGGA
rnacentral:rRNA from 1 species